ACACACUCGUUAUAUUUUCAUGGGUUAUAUUUAACCCAUAUUUUCAUGGGCCAAUUUAGUGGACCUGGGCUAUACUCCAUAUCAAUCAAUAGCAAAAGUUGAGGACCAAGCAUAUAUUCUUAGAGGAUAUGAGGUGGAGCAUCUGUCAAAGAUCUCUUUGUCAAAUGAAUCGCGAGCUUGUCGCGCGAUGCCGCGUCACCAUCGCGCGGCAGCGGCUACUGUGCAAUGCUUAGUUAGUUUAUGCCCUAUAUAUAUAUACACACAUACAUAUAUAUUAUGCAGUUUACUCUUUAUCUUUUGUCUAUCACUGAAGCUCUUUCAUUCAUGUAAUUACUUGGUAUUUGGCUUUCUUGGAGGACUUGAUUAAUAGUAAACUCUGGUUCAUCAGAUCUCCUUAGAGCAAGUCCGGAGGAAAAUAUGACUUGGAAGCUUACAAAUAAAUUCUUAAUGAAUUAAUUUUGGGAACUAGAAUCUUAAUGUCUGGUCCUAGUUACGCUAUUUGGGCGUCUGCCUUUUCUGAUUUUGGUGCUCUGUCAUGAAACAAGAACUCUGUGAUUGAUUCUUGGGCAACCAACAAAUUCUCGUUGAUUCUAUUUUAAGGAAACUGGCAAAGGUUCUACACGAGGAUGGAAUACUGACGUGGCAUGAUGAUGCAUACGAUGACAGCCCUAAACCUAAAAGAUAGCACACAUUCUUAUAUAAGUAAAACGACCAUAAUAAAUAUAAAAUAAAAAAAAAAAAAAAAAAACACGACCAUAAGAACCAAUGAUAAAUUCGAAAUAAUUUAUUAACCAAUUAAAAAAUUGCUCAGUCAACGUCAAUUUAUUGAGGGUUGGUUAUGCGUCACACAAACCCUUAUCUUUUUGUCGAUACAAAUAUCUGCAGGGCAUACAUGUCAGCAGUAGGGUUCUAAGGUGUGACACAAACAUUGAAUCUCCGACCUCCAAGAACAAAGAGAGUGUGGCCUUUAGUGAUCUGACGACAUUCCGAUGCUCAAAUCAGUGUUUUUGUCAAGAAUAAAUCAAAGUAUUCUAUGUCACAAUUUAUAGUGCGUAUCUCAUCUCGGGUAGAUGAUUCAUUUUAUAGACACUGCAAAGCGCAUUCGUUGGGAUGUUUUUAUCCUCGAUUUUCAAUCUGUUGAGAUGAGAUGUGAUUUGAUCUCGACUUUGAGACUGUUGCAAUGGGAGUUCAUCCUCAUCCGAUUUUUUUGAAUUUUUGAAUCCUCCCAGGUUGACGUGAUGAGAGUUCAUCCUCAUUUAAUUUGAAGAAAGGCAGUGUGAAUGGAUUAUGAACUCUAAAGUCUCAAGCACGUGGUCAUAACGUGACUCCACAAUAAACCCACGCAAUCGGGUGUAACGCACACGGGCUAAUCACCUGUCAUGCUGACUAGGCAUGAUAUUUUUAUUCAUACACACUCUCUCUUUUUAAUUCUUUCAUUUAUUUAUUUUUUUUUGAGAAGACAAGGAACCAAUUCAUUAAGAAAAGGCAGGGAUACAAUCCUCAGCAAUUGCAUGAGUAAUAAUGCCAAGACUUUUAUUUUCUAAAGAGCAAAACUUGUAAUGUGCCCGACAAAUACUGACAUAUGAAGAAAAAUAAUUACGAAAAAAGAAGACUUGGUCUUUGUUUCAAUUUCGCAGAAGCAUGUAGGGAAGCUUCAUGGAGGCUUCACUGGCAACACAUGGAAGUUUAUUGGUUUGGGCCCUGAUUGGGUCCCUUCUUGGAAUCUUUAAUUUAUCACCCAACGCAACGCGCGCAAGUGGUGUAUGGUUUUCGACGACUUUAUCUUAUGGCCAAGGGACAAGAACAGGAAACAAUAGUCAGGCAUCAAAAAGCACUUUGGACAAAGCCAUCUUUGUUGAGAAGGUAACUCCAUAUCAAAUACCUCAAUCCUGAGCAUGAAGAACAUCUUCAGAGUCAAAACACGUCCAGAGGCGAAUUUCAACCCAACCUCGCCACUUCUAGUCGUAUUGACAUUUGGAAGGAAUAUUUUUCUCCAAUGUGUUUUUGUGCACACUAGAUGGGAAACAAACUAUGUCGCCGACAAGCUGGCAAAAGACUUGUGGAUAGGUGGUCUGAUUUCAUCAAUUGGCCAUAAUCUAGAUUAUUAUUCAAUCUCUUU